GACGAACGCUGGCGGCGUGCUUAACACAUGCAAGUCGAACGAAGAGCGAUGGAAGCUUGCUUCUAUCACUCUUAGUGGCGAACGGGUGAGUAACGCGUAAUCAACCUGCCCUUCAGAGGGGGACAACAGUUGGAAACGACUGCUAAUACCGCAUACGAUCUAAUCUCGGCAUCGAGGAUAGAUGAAAGGUGGCCUCUACAUGUAAGCUAUCACUGAAGGAGGGGAUUGCGACUGAUUAGCUAGGUGGAGGGGUAACGGCCCACCAAGGCGAUGAUCAGUAGCCGGUCUGAGAGGAUGAACGGCCACAUUGGGACUGAGACACGGCCCAGACUCCUACGGGAGGCAGCAGUGGGGAAUCUUCCGCAAUGGACGAAAGUCUGACGGAGCAACGCCGCGUGAGUGGUGACGGCCUUCGGGUUGUAAAGCUCUGUUAAUCGGGACGAAAGGCCUUCUUGCGAAUAGUGAGAAGGAUUGACGGUACCGGAAGAGAAAGCCACGGCUAACUACGUG
rnacentral:rRNA from 1 species